UGGAGAAGAAACCUAACUUACCACCACCACCACCACUCUGAUUACAGCAGCACCACCACCACUCUAUUGUCUUCAAUCAUCAAUUUCCACCACCACCACCACUCUCUCGUCUUCAAUCAGCAGGUACUCUCUCUCUCUCUUUCAAAGUUAAUUCUUCUUCUUCUUCUACUAAUACUACUUCUUCUAAUCUUGAUUCAUAUAGAAAUGGCGAAUCGAAGUUACAAAAUACCUAUCUUUCUUAAUUUUUAUCAGUACUUUAAUUAUAAUUAAGAAUUUUGAAUGAUCAAAGCAAAUCUUUUACAAGUUUUCUGAUAAUACAUGUAUAUUUCUACUAAGUCAUACAUGGUAAAUUAUUUGAUUACUUGGUUCAGUGAUUAAAUUAAUGUUGAGAUGAUAGAUCCAGCUUUCUAGCUUCUGGAUAUUCCCAUUUGUAUAACAUGGUCAUACAUACUGUAUAUAUUUAUCAAUCUUUUAAGUUAUCAAACAUAUUGCUUCAUUUUCUAUCUACACUGCAUAUCAAAUUGCAUGAUUCAUGUGAUGAAUAUCAUAUAUCAUAAUAUGAACUUAGGAAGAUAAUGAGAUUGGUUUCUUAAUAUUUUCUCCAAGUUGAGUUGUGUUCAUGAUCUAACCAAUUAGGAUUGCCAGGGUUUAGUAUUUAUAAUAGCAGUUUUCUUCCGAAUAAUGAUGCGGGCUACUUAUCCUAAUAAGAUCUUAAGAUUUCAACAUUUUUGCUGUUCUAUGUAAAAUUUGUUGAGAAUUGAGUUAUUGUACAAUAUAUUUUUGCUUGUACAGUAUAUUGUACAUCCUGAGUAUACUAUUUUCUGAACUGGUUUGUGACUUGAAGUUAGAUAUUACUGUAGUAAUUGGAUUUUCUGAACUGGAUUUGGUGACUUUGUGAUUGAUUAGGAUUUAGGAAGUGGUGGGGAAUUUGGAAUGAUACAAAUUUUGUUAGUAAUUCUAAUGUUGCCUUGUAUUUGUUCCAUAUACUGUAGUAGUUUUUUCAUGCUCAUUGAUCUUUGUUGUUGUUUGUGCAGGUUAAUGAAUUUGAUAUAUAUUGACCAUCAAGAGGUUUUCUCCUUGUUUUUCGAACUGGAUUUUUCUCCUUGUUUUCACCAAGAGGUUUCAUUGGUGCAGAGUUGCAGACAUGUAGUGGCUAUCAUCAUCUUUAUGUAGUUAUUUAGUUAGUUCCAGACUUGAUUUGUUGUAAUAUGGGUGUUGGACAUGGUUGGUUGUUUUGGAUUUGUUUGAUUUUGUAAUUUGAUUGUGAUGGAUCCAUGGUUGGUUUGGUUUUGGACUUUUUUUUUAUUUUGUUUAAAGCUCAAAACUUAAGAACAAUCUUUAAUAUUUUAGUGGACUAAAUGCCUAAUAAAAAAAACCCAGGACCGAGUUUCGGACCAACUUUAUUUGGUCCGGCUUGGUCCGGUUAUAUUUAAAUAUUUUUGGUCC
rnacentral:lncRNA from 1 species